rnacentral:rRNA from 1 species
AGUCAAGUGAAUAAGUGCAUCA